ACUCCUACGGGAGGCAGCAGUGGGGAAUAUUGCACAAUGGGCGCAAGCCUGAUGCAGCCAUGCCGCGUGUAUGAAGAAGGCCUUCGGUUGUAAAGUACUUCAGCAGUGAGGAAGGUGGGUAGUGUUAAUAGCAUACUCAUUUGACGUUAGCUGCAGAAGAAGCACCGGCUAACUCCGUGCCAGCAGCCGCGGUAAUACGGAGGGUGCGAGCGUUAAUCGGAAUUACUGGGCGUAAAGCGCAUGCAGGUGGUUUGUUAAGUCAGAUGUGAAAGCCCGGGGCUCAACCUCGGAAUUGCAUUUGAAACUGGCAAACUAGAGUACUGUAGAGGGGGUAGAAUUUCAGGUGUAGCGGUGAAAUGCGUAGAGAUCUGAAGGAAUACCGGUGGCGAAGGCGGCCCCCUGGACAGAUACUGACACUCAGAUGCGAAAGCGUGGGGAGCAAACAGGAUUAGAUACCCUGGUA
rnacentral:rRNA from 1 species